UAGUUUUGGGACAUCUUUCAAAUUCAUCAGACUGCAUCCAUCUUCCAGUGGCAUCUUUGCUUUGUACUAAAACUUUCCUUUUUCAGAUGACAUCUGUGAGAAUUCUUAUAGUGUUGCAGCAGUAUAAUCCUGUAUGACAUUCAGAACCUCUAAACAGGGAAAUUACAGUACCUGUCAAAUUGAUGUUCAAACACCACUGUGCUUCUGUGGGAUAGUUUUAAUUUACUUUUUAAUUUUUGUUUCCAAAGGUAAAGUCAUGUUUGUAUGAAGUUGAGCUGAAGACAUUUAUUAUCUCAGUAUGUUAAGUAAAACAGCCGUAUAUAUAAAGGCAGAAUAUUGGCUGAAUAUUUUGCAAUCAAUUUACAGUCUCAGAAGGAAACUUUUUCUCUUUUCAAUUCUUUGUAAAGCCAUGUGUAAUAACAUUGUUUUCUGAAAAGCAUAUGCCAACAAUUGCUAGUGUGAUAAUGUAUUAUUAACGUAACUAAGCUCAAAACCAGGCACAUGUAUAAUUCUUUCUUCUGUUGUGGGCUGCUUUGUCUAGAACAUGGAUGGGGGCCCGAUUGCUGCAUCUGUGCACAACCAGCUCUCUGAAACUACCCCCUUGUCCUUGGAAACGUCAUGGCUCUUUCUUCUUAGCUGGGCUGGAGGUAAAAUGGUCUUGCCAACUGAUUUUAUUUUGCCAGAUCUGAUCUUAUUUAGAGCUGCAAUCAGAUGAGAUCUUUCCUGACAGAAGACAAAGUAAAUGCUUCCCUUCAAUGUGAUUCAUUUGGGACUGCAGUGGAGAAGCAGAAAUUGGAUUUUAUCUCUUUCAUCUGUCUCAAGCACUGGGGCUGCAUUACAUCUGGUGAGACUGGAGGGUUUACUGAUGCUUGGGAAAGACGAAUAUUUCAUACCUGUCCAUCUCUGCAAAUAAUCCACAAAAAUUUAAACCAGAAAGAAAACCAGCUGCUGCCGUUCAGCAAGAAGUCUAUUACGAAUCCCUAGGUGGCAUGGAAAGCAUUUAGACUCAUUUCAUUCACAUGUCAGCAAAGCAGAUCUACUCUGGGAAAUAUCCUCCAAGAUGUUCUCUACAUUCCGCCCAGUUACGAAGAAGAUUUUGUCUUAAUUGCACACCAAACAGGAAAAUGCAGCAUAAGCUCACAAGUUGGUAUUCACAAAAGUACUGACUUAUACACCCAGCCUCCACGUAUGGUGGGAUGUUACUGAAAAAAUAAAAGUCAUCUAUAUAUUC